rnacentral:rRNA from 1 species
AGUGAACGCUGGCGGUAGGCCUAACACAUGCAAGUCGAACGGCAGCACAGUAAGAGCUUGCUCUUACGGGUGGCGAGUCGCGGACGGGUGAGGAAUACAUCGGAAUCUACUUUUUCGGGGGGGAUAACGUAGGGAAACUUACUCUAAUACCGCAUCCGCCCUACGGGUGAAAGCAGGGGAUCUUCGGACCUUGCGCGAUUGAAUGCGCCGAUGUCGGAUUAGCUAGUUGGCGGGGUCAAGGCCCACCAAGGCGACGAUCCGUAGCUGGUCUGAGAGAAUGAUCAGCCACACUGGAACUGAGACACGGUCCAGACUCCUACGGGAGGCAGCAGUGGGGAAUAUUGGACAAUGGGCGCAAGCCUGAUCCAGCCAUACCGCGUGGGUGAAGAAGGCCUUCGGGUUGUAAAGCCCUUUUGUUGGGAAAGAAAAGCAGCAGGUUAAUACCCCGCUGUUCUGACGGUACCCAAAGAAUAAGCACCGGCUAACUUCGUG